GUUCUAUAUAACUCUGGCAUACGUAUAAUACUUCAGCGCUCUGAGUCUCUCUCUCUCACUGUUGUUGUUGUUGCAUGGAUGGAUGUAUUUUUUUUUCUUUUUAUUUUGUUAGCAUUCUCUCUGUAUUCUUUCAUGUUCUGUUCGCUGCCUUCAUGUUGUAUGGGCCCUCUCGGUUUUGCUGCUGCUGCUGCUGCCGCCGCCGUUGCCGCUGCUGUUGCUGCUGCUCACUUGUCGCUCCGUUCGAACAUCUCUACUCUCUACUAAAAACCUACUGUGUAGUAUAAUAUGUUUGUCAGACAAUACGCACGUACUAUUUCAGUCUAUGUGUAAAAAUUUUCUGGUGUGCAUUUGUGUAUUUGUGGAAAAUAAUUGAAGGAAAAAUUUAUUAACGAAAAGAAAAUAAUAAUCGAAUAACGCGAAUUGAAGCAAGAUAUCCAUCAGCUAACGAUUGACAAUUUUCACGGAAAAUCCUUCAGCAAUUUUUAAUUCAGCUAAAUAACGAAAAGGUAUCCAUCACUGAUCGACCAGUAUACUCAAUAACUUUUAUCAAUGGAGUAUUAUUAUCAGAUCCAGGUAAGUGAGCCAACUUUCGAUUUUUUCUGUCAAUUUUCCGUAAAUUGACACACGAAAUUUUGUGCAUUUUUCCGACACGAAAUAUUUUCCGAAUUCAUUAAAAUUGCCCGUAAAUUUCAAGCGAAAAAAAUUCAACAAUUUUUUUCUUCGGUUUUUUUUUUUGAUCGAAUCAACUUCGUACGUCCAUUUUUGUUCGUAUUCAUACCCGCGUCAUUACAAUUUGUUUACAAAACAAAAAUAUAUGUACAUAUCUAUGUAUUGAAAGUCUUGUGCGACGGAAAACACGAAAAUUUAUGUGAAAAUUCAACGAAUUUAAAAUGAAAUAAAUUAAUCGAAUAAAUGUCAAAGACCAUCGAAUGCACAACGUAGAAAUAAUUUCGGCGAUGACAAAAAAAAAUCAACAAUUGAAUAAUCGCGCGCGCGGACUAUUUCAACGUACGAACCAAACCGUGUAGAAAUACAAUCGAAUUUUUAGUUAAAUUUUAUGUGAGAAAAAAAAACCAAAUGAAAUCAAAUAAAGCUUUUAAUUUCAGCAAGUGUGGAUUAAAAAUAGAAAAACCAAAAAUUGAUUUACAAAAAAAUAAAUAAAUAAAUGUUCUCCAGAGAAAAAAAAAAUAGGUGAAUUUGUAUUGAAACAAAAAUGAGUCAAAACAAUGUAUUCGUUUUUAUUCGCGAGAAAAAUCACGUCGAAAUUACGAAUUGUGGUUUCCUGACAUGCAAAAUCGUGAACGAAAAAACAAUAAUUCGUUUUUUUUUUGGAAAUUAUAAGCAAUAAGAGAGCGAGUGAGAGAGAAACAGAACAAGACACCAAAGAAAGUAGAAAAAAAUACCGAAAUUUUUUUAUUUACUCAUAAAAGUGUUGUGCUUUUUUUUUUUACUCAGUGCGUGUAUGUGUGUAUACAAUUUUAUUGAGCCGAUUCUUCGUCAUUUUUCACUUGUGGUCGCCAUCUCUUUCAUUCUCAUUUUUUCGUUGUUUGCGGUGCGGUGAAUGUUGAAAUAAAAAAAAAACAGCAGCAGCAGCAACAACAACAACAGCAGCAGCAGCAGUAAGCAUUAUCGCGUUUGUUUGCAACAAUUCCGUAUAAAUGCUCGGUUUUAUGUGUACGUGCGUUUUAUAUUGUACAGUCGGGGCCAUUCGAUUCGAUUUCUUCGACUCUGACUCUGGUUCGACCGAUGUGUGUAUGUGACAUGCAUGUGUGCGUUGUGUAUGUGAGUGAGUGAGUGUGUAUGUGCGUGCGUGCAUGAAUGAGUGAUGAUGAUGGAAAAACAAACAGAAAUGGUUUUUACUCUAGUUACUCAUUUCCGCGCCGUUACUGUAACAAUUAUUCCAAUUUGUUGUUCUUCAAUGCAACCAUUUUUUCCCCGAUAUCUAUUCAUUGUGGUGGAUAGAGACCUUUUUCCCUCCCGACUCGUCGAUUUGGAUGACAAUAAGCGCCAAAACGUUACGAUAUGUCCACGAUAAUAACGUCGAUUCAAGUGAAUGCUGAACGUGCGAUCGACGAUAAACGAUGCGUAAUAAACGGCAAAAUUCGACGCUGCCAACAACAUUUUUGCGGCCAUAAACGCUGCUCCAUGGGAGAGAGAGAAAAAAAGGGAAAAUCGGCUAAAUUUUUAUUAAGGUUCAUAUUUUAUGACAUGGGAUGAAUAUUGUUAUGUAGCAAUAAUAAUGAAUGAAAAAUUGAAUGCAUUGAAAAAUUCGCUCAACAAUGUUUGAGUAAAUCGGCAACACAGCGGCAAAAAUGCGUGUGUGAUUUUUCGGCUUCGAAUGUAUACGUGACCAUUUGUUUGUGAUCACAUUUUCACUCAAAUGUCGCGUGUAUGUAUGCAAACCAUUUGGUUCGGCCAGAAAAAAAAAAUAAUGCCAAACAUAAUUUCAUUUUAUGUGCUCAAAUUUUCCCUCGCAAUUCGAUUGAUUUGCUGAAUUAUCGAUGAAAUGUUGUCGAAUAUAGAAGCAAUUUCACAAUAAUGAUCAUUUCAUAUUCCAAUAUUGAUCAUGAUAAAUUCAUCGAUUUUAACGCCUUUGCGCGUUGUUGUUGCUGUUGCUGCUACUUAUUUUCCACUUACAAAACGGGCAAAAACCAUAAGGAAUUUAUCGUACGAUCGCGAUAUUUUGAUUAUUCGUCAAAAAUGACGCACGAUCGAAGAAAUUGUUUAGCGCUUUUACUGUGUGCCAUAUCCAUGUCAAUAUUCCUCUCUCUGUUUCGCGGCCAUUUUUUGCCAUUGCGUUCCUUUUUCGGUCAAAAGCGUGCUGGUUUACAUGUAUGUGUCCGGCUUAUACACACAACCAUCUCUAUUCCGACACGAAAUCCAGCGAGCACGAGAGAUGAGAAGAAAUGAAAACGUGUGUAUUUGUUUGCAUGCGCAGGAGUUGUGCAAAUCCAUUGAACUGAAAAUUUCCCCAAUUUUCACUCAUGAUCUUCACUCACAAAAUACAUACAAAAUCACACUCAAACACACACGCACACGUUCACACAUGAUUUUCGAAUCAAUGAUUCUAAAAGUGUGAGUGAGUUUUUGGAUUUUUGUUUUUAUUAUAUUUUUCGUUGCUGCCGACACACACGCUUUUCAUGAACGGUUUGUUAUUUAACAUCGUUUAUAUCAACAUACCGUGAAUUAUUUCAUUCGACUGAGAGAAAGAGAGAGAGAGAGCGAGAGAGUACGGGAGCGUGCAAGCACAUUACACUGUACAAAUAUAAAUCGCUCCACGAUCAAGAUAAAUAAACCGUGCGGUACAUAAAUAAAUGAGCUAUUUUGGUGAGGUUUUUUCUAUAGAACCUCUUUGCUUAUUACGCGCUCAAUGAAUGAGUGCUGAAUGGCGCCAAUGAGAAUUAUUUCAAUAUAUAUUGAAUAUGUUAAUUGUAGCACACGACCAAUUGAAAUGAACUUAUUUUGUGUGUGUGUAGUGUUUGCGCGGAAAUUGCAUCUCUUUCCAAAAGCGAUUGAAAUUGGACGGACACACACAGUGUGUUUCAUUUGAUGCACAUAAAAAAAAUUGAAAAAAUUAAUUUUUCUCUUUGAAUUGUAAACUUUUAACUUCGUGAACUGUGGUUCAAAUCAAAGUCAUUUGCAUUGAACGAAUUACGUCUCGCCGAAAACGCAGCGUUCAUAUUUCGUUAUAUUUAUCUCCAAAUUAUGUAAAAAAUAAUGGAUUUAUUUGUAAUUUUUAGCCCAUAAUAUCAUUCAAAUUUAAAACAAAUGAUCCAAUUAGACCAUUUGGAUCCAAUUACAUUGGUUUAUUUUUAUAAACCAAAACUUUAAAUUCGUGUACAAAAUGAGCUCAAAUCCGUCUUUUAAUUAUUUCACGUGUCAUUUUUGCCAUCGGUUCUAAGCACCCAUUUCCAAUAAUCAUCUUAUAUGAAACACAUUGCAGCUGUUAGAAUCACGUACAAAAUGAAAUCGCGCCAAAAAUUUAAAACAACUCACAAUAAGUGAAUCGGCUGAAGUUUGAAAACCCUACAAAAGUGGAACUCUUCAAACAACACAGCAAUGGCCGUCGGUUGAGCUUUUUUUUAAAAGUUCAAGUCGUUUUUAAAACUUUGAGCGACUCACAACUUCAAUAAUGCUCACAUGAUUUCGGCUGAUUCUCACAGAUGGCGCUAAAUGUUUCAUGAAAAUUCAAAAUUAGUUGUUGUAAAAACGGAUUUUUUUGUUGGCUUGGCUUUUGCUGCAUGAAAUUCAAUUGAAACGCUUUCAACGACCGUAUCGAAAAAAGUGUUCGCUUUAAAACAGAGAAGAAAAGAGAGACAGAUAAAGUUUGUGGAUAAGUUCAUCUUUAUUGGUUCAAUGUACAUUUUUACCAUCAAUCGCCGGGUUUUUUUUUUCUCUGUCGUACCUUUUUGUGCGAAGUCAGCCAUCCAGACUGAAGAGAAGGUAGAAGAAAAAUGACAAAGAUGGAAUAUUUAUGGGUUUUCUGGAAACGAUGCAAUUAGCACACAGCUCAAUUUUACCUGCUGCCAUUUAAAAAAAAAAGGCAAUCGAUGUGAGGCAAAUGCGAAACGAAAAGUAUAAUGCACAUGGGGUAACGAAGGAAAAGAGAGUGCGAGAGAGAUUUUUGUGUUCCUUUUCUGAGAUUUAUUUGAGAUAUCGUUUUUUUUUUGCUUUGUUUUUGCUUUUCGCUCGAGCGUCAUAUCCAUUUCGUCUCGUUUGACUGUUCACUUUUUUUUCUUGUUUCAACCAAAGCCGUUUUAUUCCUGUGCGAUGUUCGUCAUUUUCCAGACAUUUGAAAAUCCUAACGAGCGCCGUACGCUUUUUUUUAUUGCGUGCGAAUGUUUGCUUUUCGGUGGACUGCUGUUUAAGUGCCAUGUAAUUGUCAAAUACAAUACAGGAAAAUAUCAUCAAUGCCACUCGUCUGGCGACGCAUUGGCACAGGAAAGAAAACACACCACGGUACAGAGCAGCAGAACCAAGUCAAAUGCCUAACCUAUCAACAUAAAAAUUGUAUGCAAGUAAACUGCACUGGAUUUUAUGAGCGUGCAUUUUUCACUGAAAACUAUUUGUCAACUGGUUGCCAUUACCAACCGUCACCGUCAAAUAGAGCAACAAGAGAACUUGCACGCAAGAACGACAAUGUUGUCAGUGCAAUUUCAAGUAAUCAUUGCACCAAAAUUGUUGACAUUCUUGCGCUCAUCACGAACUUUCUUAAUUGAUUUUUAUUCGGUCUUGAAUUAUCUUUUCACAUCAAAUGAGACAACAACAGCCCCAGCGUGUGUUUGUUCGCUCUGUGUUUUCAAUUAAAGCCAAAAUAGCAUCACAUGCAUAGCUCCAAUAGUGAGCCGAAAACAGAUAGACAGAGGGAAAAAUGUUUAUGCCCAGGCAAAAACAAAUGCAAAUACUCACUCUCUCACACACACACACACACACAGCAAAUACCAAGAUAUAUAUUGUUCAUAAGCCCUUAUUUGGAUUGGAAAACAAAAUGCAAAUGACAUUCCGUUUCGAUUUUCCGUUUGAAACUCUUUGCAUAAGUUAUUAUGUAAUCCAUUCUUGGUGCGGUUCAGCGUCAUAGGAACACAAUAGAGACUGAGCAAGCGAGCGAGCGAGUGAGUGAGUCGCUUCGACUGUAUUGUAGCAGCUGUUGUACAAUGCUCACAAUGCGCACAAAUAGAUGGGAAACGAUUUGACGACGGUAAAACGGUGUGUAUUUGUGAGUGAGCACACAAUCAAAGAUUUGAAUGCACAUAUAUAUAUUGAACGGCGUUGGGCUCUAAAGGCAUUAAACAUCGAAUCGAUCACAUGUUAUUAUUUUCAUUUUUUUUUUCGUUCGCCUAUUUGUGCAUUUUAUCGGUCUCUUUUUCAUUCUAUGUCUAUGUAAAGAGAUAUGUUUAUGAGCCGCGCGCACAGGUCAUACCAUACAAUGUGCAUCUUUCUGCUUUUAUGCUUAAUAAUUAUGGCCUGUAGAGAAAGAAGUUACUUACUCAAGGCUAAGAAAAUAUAAUAGCUACAAUUUAUAGUCGAUUUUCACAGCGCGUUUAUCGGCCCAGCUGUUUUCGAAAAUGACAUCCGUCACACACACACACACACGCUCACGAAUAAAAAGGGCAACUAUUUAUCGGACGCAAUGAGCAUAUUUACAAAUGUGAGAACACAAUUACGAACGUUUGUAUAUUUGAGCGUUUAAUCAAAGAGAGAAAGGCUUUUUUUCGAGAAUGCUUCAAUUUGGUUUUAUUCAAGAAAUGUAAACGGGACACAGAACGGUCAGCAAACAAACUGAGGCUAAUUAAUCAUUAAUUGAUAUUAAUUUGUGACCGAAUAUUUGCGGCCAAGUUCGUGCAUGCUUGUGCUUUACGUCUGGCUCAUAAUUCACUCGCAACUUAAUUUACUUUGAUUCCAUGAAUUCAAGCCGAGAUGCGUGCUCUUGCAAGCAAACAAUUCCAAAUUAACUGGAUAGACAGAACAGAGUCAUUGUCGAUGACAGCAUUGCAACAACAACAAAAAAAACAACGGCUCAUGUUUUCUUCCUCUUGGUCUCUAAGCAAUUUUCCUCUCCUUUUUUUUCUGGUUUGCCAAUGUUAAACAUCGAGUCCGAACACCGAGACCAAAACCGACAUAGAGAGUGAGAGAGUGAGAGAGAGAGAGAGAGAGAGAGUCUGUGUGCGCAUAAUGAGAAAAGUUUAUGUGGAACAAAAAGUUAUUAUGAUUAUUUUAUUAUAAAAUCAAAUUUGUUGCUUUUAUGAAAAGGUGGCUGGAUUGAAAACGGAAAUUUUCGCAUGCUAUGUUCUUUGCCUGUCGUUGUCGUCGUUCCACUGGAAGUUUUCCACACAAAGUGUUCACUUUCGCCAACUUGAUUGAGUGAAUGAGUGAAAAGUGCCGGAUCACACGUUGUCUGUUUUAAAUACGUAUUUGGCAGUUCUUUGCCGUUACAAAUGUUCGCUUUUCUUUCGAGAUUUUGUUUCUCUUUUCUUUAUCUUUUUCCGUCAUUCCGGUUACAUGAAGGGUGAGUUAAUUUAAAAACCGGCAUAUAUGCUGUUCGCUUCAAUUGCCUUCUGCACACAUGCACACAUCCAUACACAAAACACACACACACAUGCUCAUUCGGCCGAAGUGCCGCUUGCACACAAAGCAGUAUAACACUAAUUCGAAACGAAAGAAGGAAAGUUUUUUGUUCGUCGUUCGUUCGUUUAGCUCCCUUGCUAACGAACGAAUUUCCAUUCCAUAAAAUACAUAUUGAAACUGAAUAUAUUUCGUUUACUAUGUUUAUAUACAGUGUACACAUUUGGUGAACAGGGUAUGUACCCUGUGCAUAUAUGUAUUUCAUUGCUGUUGCUGCUGUUGCUGCUGCUGCUGCCGCUGCUGCCGCCUGCCAGAAGAGACCCGUAAUGCCUCGAUUGUGUCGUGUGCGCUCUCUCUUACUCUGGCUCUGACUCACACUCCAGUUGGAAUAUUAUGGCGAGGCACAUACGAGAAAAAAAAAUACAGCAAAUACGAGCCGAGCAGAGCAGCAACGGCAAAAUGGUUCAUUCCUUCUUCUCGGCGAACUCUGUGUGCCGGUUGGUUUAAAUCGCUCAUUCUAUGUGCUAUGGCCUGUGCUGUGUUUAUGUGAUUUUCCAAACUCAAUCCCAUUUCACUUUAAUGCUCUGAACGAAAAAUCGACAAACUGUAUACACAGGGAAUGUGUGCAUAUAACAACGUUUGCUCGUUCGUUCGCUCGCCUGCUCGCGAAGCAACGAUGAGGACAACACCAACAACAACAUCAGCGACGACGACGACGACGAUGCUUCUAUGUAUGCAGCAGCAGCCCUAUUCCGUAUAUUUUUCCCUGUGAGUGUGUACAUGUUUAACAUGAGUUUUUAAUGCGAAACGUUAUUUUAUUCUUUCCCCUCGGCAUUUGUGCAUGCAGUAAAACUGCUGGCUCGCUCUCUGUUUUAUGUGUUUCAAGCGCAGAGAAAGACCAAGUACCAGUUCAAUAUUGCCGAAAGAGAGAGAGAGAGAGAAGGCUCACCCUUAUUUUUUGGCCGACUCAACUCGAUUCAAUCGUGUACACACGCCAUCCUCAGCUAAAAUUCAACUACUUUGCUUGUCCCAACUGCUGCUGCUGCUGCUGCUAAUGUUGUUGCUGUUUUUGUUGUUGUUAUUUCCCAUUCUGCAUAAUAUCAUACAAAAUAGAUGGAGUCGAAAAUGAAUGUUCUCAGCAGCGGCAGAGUACUGCACAUUUGCAUAAGAAGUAAAGCCGGAGCUUUCAAUUUUCGGAAAAAAAAUUUCCGAAAAACUUUCUUCAGAAAGAGAAAGCCAACGAAUCGGCAACAUUUUCGAUGCGACGCAAAAAAUAUUUUAGCAAAUCAAGAUGAAAAUUGGAAAUUGAAUUCGAAUUUCGAACUUUUCGCACCACUCUAACGAACCGAAUUCGAGAGUAAAACGAAUGAAUGUACGCCAAAAUGUUUUAUGCUUAGCGUAGCGUACGCUCAAAUGUGAGAUACAAUAAUUUUAGGUACGGCUGUUUCUCUCUCUGCACAUGCAGAAUACAAUCGGUCUUUCUCCUCAUUGCCUCAGUGUAUAAAUAUAGUAAAAUUGCUAUAGGAAAAGCGAACGAACGGCAGCAAAGACAGACUCGAUUGAAAUCGACCUCAUGCUCAUACUACCGUUUAUUUCGUUAUGGUUCAUGCUGAUAUUCAUUUCUCUCUCUCUCUUCCUCUCCCUCUCUCUCGCACUCUCCUUUCGACCGUAUAUUUUUCGAAAAAUACCGGGGAAUGAGUAAAUGUGGUGUAUGUGCUCUCGCGCGGUAGAUUGUGUACACAUAAUUUCCACCCUGAAAAGCAAUCUAUUUUGCAAUCCAAGCAAGUAUUGCGCGUUCCAUGGAAAAUUUUCUAUAAUGUGUAUUAUGUUUGCCAGGGAUGUGUGCUCACUCUCGUAUUCUCUUCGUGUGUCUCUCCCGUUUGCUGGGUUUUUGGUUCGUGUCGGAUCAGUGGUAAAGCGUGUGUACGUGCGUGCGCGCGCGCUUCGAGCCUGAGCCGACCGAAUUUAAUCGCAAUUUUAAAUGCGUAAACUUUUUCACCAAUCGUUCCUUUAUCCUAAAAACCCAUUACUUUGAAGCCGGCUCGCGUGUGCCAUGGCUCUGUGUUUCUCUUCGUUUUCGCUUCGGCCUAAGUAAAAAAUCCGGCGUGAAAAAAUCAAUUACACAAAAGCGACUAAUUAAUUGCACAUCCCUGAAAACGCUAAUAAUUUCUUGUAUGAUAGCACACUGGCAAAUGCAGAAUGGUUUUGUGUCGGUUUUUCCUUUUUGUGCCAUUGCUACUGAUGCUGUCGAUUGUUGUUGCCGUUGUUAUUUUCUCUCUCUCUCUCUCUCUCUCUCUCUCUCUCCCUCUCUCUCUCUCUCUGUAUGGAUGAAUUUGAAAUCCACGAGAAAAUGCACCGAGAGCACUCCUCUUUUGCUCCCCAACAUGAUCUCAUGUGUGUGGCUGAUGCUCAUGUUUGUGUCGUUCGCAUGCAAAUGGACGACACAUCACUUUUGAAAAAUAUACACAUACUCUCUCUCCUUACUCACUAUUUCAUUCUCGAUGGCAACGUCUGGAUAGGGCACAAAACAAUAGAUAUGCACAAUUUGUCGAACGAACCAAAUAACAACACAACAAAA